GCGGAAUCAGGCUUUAGGUUCAGUUUUUGACGCAUUUAGAUGCUGCUUUACAACAUGACGCUUGAUAACAGUCACAACAACACGUGAGUGAUUUAAAUAUAAAUUAUGCAGAUGACAGCUCAGUUACAGACUCAUAAUGUCACUUAACAGCACACACUUCAGCCCAUAAACAAACAAAACAGACAAACGCUGUGAUAAAGUGCAGAACUGGAAGAUGUCACGCGACUCACCUAAUAAGGGAUGUUUGAACUGUUACACUCAGCCAACAGAAGCAUGUGGACAGACAUUGACUGUAAUGAAGGACAUCUGCUGAUGCACAGGAUCCUAUGAGGGGAUGCUGGAGUCUGUCCCAGAGUCUCCGACCCAAAGCAGGAAAACACCCAG
ensembl:lncRNA